ACGGAAUAGAUACCCAGGUAGUCCACGCCCUAAACGAUGAUUACUCGACAUACGCGAUACACAGUGUGUGUCUGAGCGAAAGCAUUAAGUAAUCCACCUGGGAAGUACGUCCGCAAGGAUGAAACUCAAAGGAAUUGACGGGGGUCGCACAAGCGGUGGAGUAUGUGGUUUAAUUCGAUGAUACGCGAGGAACCUUACCUGGGCUAGAAUGCUAUCUGACUGUACCUGAAAGGGUAUUUUGUAGCAAUACACAGAUAGUAAGGUGCUGCAUGGCUGUCGUCAGCUCGUGCCGUGAGGUGUUGGGUUAAGUCCCGCAACGAGCGCAACCCCCGACUCUUCUAGUUAGUCCGACGCA
rnacentral:rRNA from 1 species